rnacentral:rRNA from 1 species
AUUGAACGCUGGCGGCAGGCCUAACACAUGCAAGUCGAACGGUACAGGAAACAGCUUGCUGUUUCGCUGACGAGUGGCGGACGGGGGAGUAAUGUCUGGGAAACUGCCUGAUGGAGGGGGAUAACUACUGGAAACGGUAGCUAAUACCGCAUAACGUCGCAAGACCAAAGAGGGGGACCUUCGGGCCUCUUGCCAUCGGAUGUGCCCAGAUGGGAUUAGCUAGUAGGUGGGGUAACGGCUCACCUAGGCGACGAUCCCUAGCUGGUCUGAGAGGAUGACCAGCCACACUGGAACUGAGACACGGUCCAGACUCCUACGGGAGGCAGCAGUGGGGAAUAUUGCACAAUGGGCGCAAGCCUGAUGCAGCCAUGCCGCGUGUAUGAAGAAGGCCUUCGGGUUGUAAAGUACUUUCAGCGGGGAUGAAGGGAGUAAAGUUAAUACCUUUGCUCUUUGACGUUACCCGCAGAAGAAGCACCGGCUAACUCCGUG